rnacentral:rRNA from 1 species
GACGAACGCUGGCGGCGUGCUUAACACAUGCAAGUCGAGCGGAGCGGCGAACGGGUGAGUAACGCGUGAGUAACUGCCCCCCUCUCUGGGAUAACAGUUGGAAACGGCUGCUAAUACCGGAUAGUGGGGGAUGACUCGCGUCCUAUCAGCUUGUUGGGGGGGUAGUGGCCUACGAAGGCGUCGACGGGAAGCCGGCCUGUGAGGGAGACCGGCCACAUUGGGCUGGGAUACGGCCCAAGCUCCUACUGUGGGCCGCAGUGGGGAAUAAUGAACAAUGGGGGAAACCCUGAUGGAGAAACGCCGCGUGCGGGCUGACGGCCUUCGGGUUGUAAACCGCUUUCAGCCAGGACGCGGUAGUGGCAGAAGAAGCACCGGCUAACUACGUGCCAGCCGCCGCGGUAAUAC